rnacentral:rRNA from 1 species
AUACAUGCAAGUCGAACGAGUUCUCGUUGAUGAUUGGUGCUUGCACCGAGAUUCAACAUGGAACGAGUGGCGGACGGGUGAGUAACACGUGGGUAACCUGCCCUUAAGUGGGGGAUAACAUUUGGAAACAGAUGCUAAUACCGCAUAGAUCCAAGAACCGCAUGGUUCUUGGCUGAAAGAUGGCGUAAGCUAUCGCUUUUGGAUGGACCCGCGGCGUAUUAGCUAGUUGGUGAGGUAAUGGCUCACCAAGGCGAUGAUACGUAGCCGAACUGAGAGGUUGAUCGGCCACAUUGGGACUGAGACACGGCCCAAACUCCUACGGGAGGCAGCAGUAGGGAAUCUUCCACAAUGGACGCAAGUCUGAUGGAGCAACGCCGCGUGAGUGAAGAAGGCUUUCGGGUCGUAAAACUCUGUUGUUGGAGAAGAAUGGUCGGCAGAGUAACUGUUGCCGGCGUGACGGUAUCCAACCAGAAAGCCACGGCUAACUACGUGCCAGCAGCCGCGGUAAUACGUAGGUGGCAAGCGUUAUCCGGAUUUAUUGGGCGUAAAGCGAGCGCAGGCGGUUUUUUAAGUCUGAUGUGAAAGCCCUCGGCUUAACCGAGGAAGCGCAUCGGAAACUGGGAAACUUGAGUGCAGAAGAGGACAGUGGAACUCCAUGUGUAGCGGUGAAAUGCGUAGAUAUAUGGAAGAACACCAGUGGCGAAGGCGGCUGUCUGGUCUGUAACUGACGCUGAGGCUCGAAAGCAUGGGUAGCGAACAGGAUUAGAUACCCUGGUAGUCCAUGCCGUAAACGAUGAAUGCUAGUGUUGGAGGGUUUCCGCCCUUUCAGUGCCGCAGCUAACGCAUUAAGCAUUCCGCCUGGGGAGUACGACCGCAGGUUGAACU